AGUGAACGCUGGCGGUAGGCCUAACACAUGCAAGUCGAACGGCAGCACAGUAAGAGCUUGCUCUUACGGGUGGCGAGUGGCGGACGGGUGAGGAAUACAUCGGAAUCUACUUUUUCGUGGGGGAUAACGUAGGGAAACUUACGCUAAUACCGCAUACGACCUACGGGUGAAAGCAGGGGAUCUUCGGCCCUUGCGCGAUUGAAUGCGCCGAUGUCGGAUUAGCUAGUUGGCGGGGUAAAGGCCCACCAAGGCGACGAUCCGUAGCUGGUCUGAGAGGAUGAUCAGCCACACUGGAACUGAGACACGGUCCAGACUCCUACGGGAGGCAGCAGUGGGGAAUAUUGGACAAUGGGCGCAAGCCUGAUCCAGCCAUACCGCGUGGGUGAAGAAGGCCUUCGGGUUGUAAAGCCCUUUUGUUGGGAAAGAAAAGCAGCAGGUUAAUACCCCGCUGUUCUGACGGUACCCAAAGAAUAAGCACCGGCUAACUUCGUG
rnacentral:rRNA from 1 species